rnacentral:rRNA from 1 species
UGGCGAUGAACGGGAUUAGCCCAUCGCGGAACUGCAGGUCACCUUGGCCUUGCGGAAUGUCGCGUUUGGGAGAGUCUUAUCGAGAACUGGACGGCCAGUCAAAGUCCAACUUGACUGUGGCCAUCGACCAAAGAGGGUGAUAGUCCCGUAAGGCGGCUGUCUGUUCUCGCUGACUUUUCCCUCGAGUCGGGUUGCUUGGGAGUGCAGCCCAAAGUGUGAGGUAAACUCCUCAUAAGGCUAAAUAUUACGCAGAGACCGAUAGCAAACAAGUACCGUGAGGGAAGAUUGAAAAGAACUUUGAAGAGAGAGUUCAAUAGUACGUGAAACUGUGUGGUGGUAAACGGAGGGGUUCUCGAAGUUUCUGUGGGGAACUCAACCUUGGUCGGCUUCAGCCUCGUCGUUCUUGAUCAGCAAUGACUCGACGGCUUGUCCUGUUGUUGUCCCGGGUGCACUUUCCCCGCGGUUUACCACAGGAACUGUUCGGUCUGGACCGAAGGGCUCGGGUGAAGUUGUCGGUUAUGCCGGCAGCCCCUUGUUCCUGGCUCCGGACCAGACAGGUACUUGAGUGGACUCGUAUAGCGAGCAAUGCUCUGUUGCGGUUCACAUCUCUCUGUGGAGUAGGUCGGCGGCCCCUCCGACCCGUCUUGAAACACGGACC